UUUAUUGGAGAGUUUGAUCCUGGCUCAGGACGAACGCUGGCGGCGUGCCUAAUACAUGCAAGUCGAGCGGACUUAAAAAGCUUGCUUUUUAAGUUAGCGGCGGACGGGUGAGUAACACGUGGGCAACCUGCCUGUAAGACUGGGAUAACUUCGGGAAACCGGAGCUAAUACCGGAUAAUCCU
rnacentral:rRNA from 1 species